rnacentral:piRNA from 1 species
AGACUGGGCUAUUCUGAAAUAAG